GGCGGCGUGCCUAAUACAUGCAAAGUCGAACGAACGGAUAAAGAGCUUGUCUCUUUUGAAGUUAGUGGCGGACGGGUGAGCAACACGUGGGUAACCUGCCUCACAGCUGGGGAUAACAUCGAGAAAUCGAUGCUAAUACCGAAUGUGCUGAACAUCAUAAGAUGUUCAAGUGAAAGACGGUUUCGGCUGUCACUGUGAGAUGGACCCGCGCUGGAUUAGCUAGUUGGUAAGGUAAUGGCUUACCAAGGCGACGAUCCAUAGCCGACCUGAGAGGGUGAUCGGCCACAUUGGGACUGAGACACGGCCCAAACUCCUACGGGAGACAGCAGUAGGGAAUCUUCGGCAAUGGACGAAAGUCUGACCGAGCAACGCCGCGUGAGCGAAGAAGGCCUUCGGGUCGUAAAGCUCUGUUGUUAGAGAAGAACAUGGGUGAGAGUAACUGUUCACCCCUUGACGGUAUCUAACCAGAAAGCCACGGCUAACUACGUG
rnacentral:rRNA from 1 species